UACGGGGGGGGCAAGCGUUGCUCGGAAUCACUGGGCGUAAAGGGUGCGUAGGCGGGUUUUUAAGUCAGAGGUGAAAUCCUGGAGCUCAACUCCAGAACUGCCUUUGAUACUGAAAGUCUUGAGUAUGGGAGAGGUGAGUGGAACUGCGAGUGUAGAGGUGAAAUUCGUAGAUAUUCGCAAGAACACCAGUGGCGAAGGCGGCUCACUGGCCCAUUACUGACGCUGAGGCACGAAAGCGUGGGGAGCAAACAGG
rnacentral:rRNA from 1 species